AGAGAGUGAGGUACUUAUCAUCCGUGAGGAAUUCUUUUCUCUUCCUUUUUAUUUUUCUCAGUCCCAUCAACAAGUUCUCGAUGACGAAUAUGAAAUCGCAAAGGUCUCAUCGAUUCUCCAAGUUCUUGGACCAGUCAAGCCAUAAGAAAUCUCCUUUCGGGUCACCAGGUACUUGGUGGAGUAAUCAAACGUUGAAAGCAAUGAUAAAAAGCUGGAUAGUGGUACCCGAAAUUUCUCGAGCAUGGAGCCGGGGGAAUCUUUUCGUUUCUUGACGAAGUGAUUCUUUCUCUAGCAGGAGGGAAUGGAGCAUCUCACGGACAAAGCCCUUAAAGCUGGGAAAAAAAAGAAGGUCGGAUUUAAGUAUCAAAGCACUAGCGAGCGACCCUCUUUGCUUUUAGGCAGUGGUGUUUGAGGUCACCAUGCAAGCAAAUCAAAAGUUGGCGAGAUAUUGGUAAUCUA